CACACUUGAAAAGGACGCAUUUC
rnacentral:siRNA from 1 species